CCGGCCGCCCAGGUGACGAAGAGGAGGCUGGGGCGCACCGUGGAGGUGACGGUCGGCCCGCCUCUAGAUGCGAGGUGCGGGAGCGGCGAUUGUCGCGGGUCAACGAUGCGGUGGUGGGCUGGCGGCGGCGACCGUCCCCAUGUCUCCUCCAAGUCCGGUUCCCGCGCGCCAUCAGCGGCUCUACGUCUCCUCCAAGUCCAUCCCCGCCGGCCGCCGGCGCAUCUCCUCCAGGUCUGAUGUCGUAAGUUUUGCCAUAUGAAUUCAAUGAAGAUUACACAGGAUGGUAAUUCAAACUUUAGCAGGAUGAAUUCAAAGAGCCAAAUUGGGAAAUCAGAAAUUUACCAUGAUUUUACGCUCUCCAUUAAAGAAAUGACCAUGUUCGUAUGUGCUACUAGAUGGUUUACACCCUGCUUUCAGAGAUAUAUACGAAGGGGACAAAUGGUAGAAUUUUGUGAUCCUAUCAAACACACUGAAUUGGCGUUUCUUGCUCAACAGGUCUGUUUUGGCCAGUGUUCUCCCAUUCAGCAGCUACUUGCUAAUAAAAUGUUUAAUAUCCUCUCUUUUGUUCAGUUCGUUUAUUUUUCUAUUGUUAUCAUCUGGACCAAAAUAUAGGUCAGAAAUUUGUAGAACUGUUCAGAGCUUUUCUCCUCGGGUAGCUUUGGUCAUAUUCUGGGGAACUAUGCUGGUUUAAUCCUUAGAGAUAUUGACAAAGAUAGUGGUAAUCCACAAAUGUGUGCUUCCUACCCUGCAGAGAUAGACACAAACUUAAUGGCCUCAGCGCCGAAGGUGCAGUAAACAUUGGAGGAAGGUGCUCAGCUUGUAUUUUUAGGAUGGCAGGAAAGUCCUUCAACGAAGAUUUCCCCUGACAUUUGCAAUGGCAGCAGUGUCACCACCAGAGUUUGACAUUUAUUCACUGAAAUUAUUAUUGACUAGAUCCACCAAUCCAACGCCCCUGAGUGGACCAACAGAGAGGAGCGGCUGCCAGAGCUUGGGAGCUCCACGGACCACACGGUGACAGCGAGAGCAGGAUGAUGGUGUGCUACGUGCUCAGUUUGUACUCCACCCGAGAUUAUAAUGCAGAGGCUGCUGGACCUUGAAUAACGAUCUGAGAACUCACUUAUUUUGACUUUUAUGGGUGUCAAAGAACAUGUUUCAGCAUCGUUAUUAAUUGUUAAGGAUUGCUUUAGAACACUAGACGUAUUGGCUGUUGACUGCCUCCAAUCAGGGCCAAUACACUUUGGUCAAUAGGAUUCCCGUAUGUUGGUGUGAUGUACCUCAGCUUGGAAGCUCCCAAAAUGAUUUCACUAGCCUUUGAAGGUCAAAUUUGCUGGUUCUGCCUUGUGCCCUGCUACUAUGUAGGACUGGCCUCAUCCAUUGAGCUUCUCUCUAAUUGAAAUUAUUGCAGAUUUUCAAGGUAUCUUAAAAUCAAAUUAAUCUAAACAAAAGAUGUGAAUUAAAAAUUUGUUAGUUAGUUUACAGUUUCACCAGCAUUUUACCAUAUAUAAAAUCCUAUUUACGUCCUAUCAGCUCUCAUAUCCUCCUCUUUGAGAUAAUCAGGUGACCUUAUGUAUUGUAGCCUAUGUUUCCUUAAUAUUAAUCACUUUAGAAGAUGACCCUGCUCCAGAUUUGGAGAGUACAAUGGUUUGUUUGUUUGCUUCUUUUUAGUACCAGUUAAUAAUGCACGACCGCUUAGUCGGAUCUGCAACUACUAUUGCAAAUAGCUUUCCUGCUCAUUUUCAAGAUCAUGGCUUUGGUGUGAUUAUUUUGAAUUGGUGAAUUGUGUGUAGGUUUAAGGUGAUCAUAUAUUGGUAUUCUAGCUGGUUCUAUGAAAAAAAUGAUCAUAUGGAGGGAUUGGAUCGAUUCUGUAUAUUACAUGUUAGAUCCGAAAACUAUGCUCAGCUGCUGAACUUCUCGGUCCGUGGUAAAAUCAGGGCUCUAAACAUUCGUUCCUUGAUUAUUCGGUGUUUGUUGUGUAUGCAACCUUAUAACUGAUGCAUGAUGCUUCAAGGAACUCUCCACAGAAAUUAAAUUGAAGAAUCAUGUUAUAUUUCCUGGAGGCCUCAUAGCAAAGAUAUUUGCCAAGAUCCUCUCACUGUAGUAUUUAUCAAGGUUCAAAAAAUGCAGUAAGCGCUAAGCGGUAAGUGAGGUACCGAUUAGAGGAAAUGUAGCUUAAGCGUUCUAUACGAACAUAGUAGGAGGGGCAGCCGGUUGCACUUUCAGCAAUCAUCCUUCAAUGUUGGCCCAGUAAGGCAAUAUUUCAGCAGCCGGUGCUCUACCAUAUACAACUACUUGAAGAAACCUGACCAAGAGCCCCAAGUAAUUUCGUGUUUGAGUAUCACAUUGCUCUUUGUGAACUAAAUAUUUUUCACGAAUGUUGUAUUAUGAACAUUUGUACUACUUUUGAUCUGUUCACUCAAGAUGAUUGUUGAAGAAGACUCGGUUCAUGUUGAAUGUAAGUUGCAUGAAGGUGUGGUGCAAGUGAUAUUGGUUGGUCUGUCCGUAAGUUGAAUUGUAGAACUGAAAGUGAAAUGGCACAGUGGUCUGUGGUAAUUAGGAUUUGUAAAUUUCAGUGUUGAUGAGCAUUGUGUCUAUUGUAACUGUCUCAUACAAAAUUGAUCUUAUUCCUCA